rnacentral:rRNA from 1 species
CCUACGGGAGGCAGCAGUGGGGGAUAUUGCACAAUGGGGGAAACCCUGAUGCAGCAAAGCAGCGUGAGUGAAGAAGUCUUUCGGUGUGUAAAGCUCUAUCAGUAGGGAAGAGAAUGAUGGUACCUGAAUAAGAAGCCACGGCUAACUACGGGCCAGAAGCCGCGGUAAUACGGAAGGGGCGAGCGUUAUCCGGAUUUACUGGGUGUAAGGGGAGCGUAGACGGCUGGUCAAGUCUGAAGUGAAAGCCCGGGGCUUAACCCCGGAACGGCUGUGGAAACUGGGCAGCUUGAGUGCUGGGGAGGUAAGCGGAAUUCCUAGUGUAGCGGUGAAAUGCUUAGAUAUUAGGAAGAACCCCGGUUGCGAAGGCGGCUUACUGGACAGUAACUGACGUUGAGGCUCGAAAGCGUGGGUAGCGAACAGGAUUAGAUACCCGAGUAGUC